CCUACGGGGGGCAGCAGUGAGGAAUAUUGGUCAAUGGACGAGAGUCUGAACCAGCCAAGUAGCGUGAAGGAUGACUGCCCUAUGGGUUGUAAACUUCUUUUAUAAAGGAAUAAAACGAGGCACGUGUGCCUUUUUGCAUGUACUUUAUGAAUAAGGAUCGGCUAACUCCGUGCCAGCAGCCGCGGUAAUACGGAGGAUCCGAGCGUUAUCCGGAUUUAUUGGGUUUAAAGGGAGCGUAGAUGGGUUGUUAAGUCAGUUGUGAAAGUUUGCGGCUCAACCGUAAAAUUGCAAUUGAUACUGGCAGUCUUGAGUACAGUUGAGGUAGGCGGAAUUCGUGGUGUAGCGGUGAAAUGCUGAGAUAUCACGAAGAACCCCGAUUGCGAAGGCAGCAUACUAAACUGUGACUGACGUUGAGGCUCGAAAGUGUGGGUAUCAAACAGGAUUAGAUACCCCAGUAGUC
rnacentral:rRNA from 1 species